ensembl:lncRNA LINC02105 long intergenic non-protein coding RNA 2105
GAGGAGCACUGAGCAAGAUGGCCACCUCCUGGUGGUAAGUCUCGCUCCUGGAGUUCCCAUCUUGACCCUACAGCGGGACAUUUUGCCGCCACCUCUUUGUGUGUUGGGAAGAUGACGUCCUUUCUGCUCGUCCUGCUUCUCUGAUUGGGACAGUCUGGUUUGAAAGGGAGGAGGAGAAAUAAGAGAAAGCUCCGUGGUAAUAUACAAGACGAAAGGAAAAGAAAGACAAGUAAAAGGAAUGAUCUGCAACCACCUGGAUAUUGGAGCACAAUUGUGAGAACAACUGGAUCUGUGUCUCUGGAGAUCCCUUUGCUCAGCCAUCAGAUCAAGCAGGCAUCCAUGGUUCAGAAUGGUGAUGACCUGGGCAAGAGCUCACCAGUAAGGAGCAAAGGGGCCCGCCUGCCACUCUUAAGCAGAGCGCCUGCUGAAUCAGGAUUUCCAAGGCUCCGGCUGAGUGCCUGGCUGGGGGCUGUGUGUGCAGAUGCCACAAGAUGGACAAGACUGAGGACGCAGAUGAGGAAACUGAAGCAACUGUUCAAGAAGAGGAUAUAAAAAGGGACAGGCAUUGAUGAUGAUAUCAGAGCUUCUUCCUGGGGAAUCUCAGCCUCACAUGAUGGAGUAUGACUAAAGGAAAAAAAUAAGGCUCUUCACAUACUUUCUUGGCAGUCUGUGAGGGUCAGGGUUGAUUUUGUGUCCCUAAAAUGUCACAUGAAGUUCAUAGGCACUUCCAAAGGGGCAGUCUAGCAAGUUAAAGAGUAGAUGUGGGGCUGUGUGGAGUCCAUUGUUUGGGUAAUCUUUUUCAAACAGUAGGAAUAUACCAGCUUGUAAAGAUUUGCCCACUUAGCUUCAAGUCUCUCUGAACACAUUUCCCCCCGCUCUAUGAAUAGAUGAAGACAUACAAAUGGAACUCUUGAUAUUCUUAAGUGAAAAACAUGAUAUGGAAUAGCAGAUAAAUACAAACAAUUUCUUAUCCAGCAAAGAGCUCCAGAAAUAUUUUGACUUCAUUUAAAACAGUUAUAUAAAUAUUUGCUGGUGGAAUUUUUUUCUAAACCAAAUACCCUGAAGGAUUUUAGUUGUCUAUCUACAACUUUUUGCUUGUGGAAAAUGUUGACUUCCUGGUUACUUUGACUUGUGUUCACCUGAAAUUUUGCUUUUGCAGUAGUUUUUCUUAUGAUUUAGUGGCAUUGCCUGUCCAGUGACAGGAAGUGGUGUUCUUAUUGGGACUAAUAUGUGUUAUGGCCCUAGAACCAGCAGAAGCCACUCCUGCUUUUUUCCACACUCUUCUUUCUAUAGAAGAGAAGGGAAUGAGGAUCCCACAUGGCAUUCACUGCCUUGAGCAUACUGAGAUUUCUUUGCAAAAGGAGAAACAGCACCAGCAACUAAGCAUUUUAUCCCAUUUUAUUUUACUUCUUCUAUGAUUCUUUGCCACUUAGCAAUGCCAAUUAAUUGAUUUGGGACUGGAAAUACAUUUCUUAUACAAUCUUCAAGUUUUCUUUCAUAAGAACAUAACUUUCAUCUGAUAUUGUUCCCCACUUCUCUCUUUUCAAAUGUAAUAUUUGGGCCAGUCCUUGAAAGUGAACUGAGUUGAGUUCUCAUGGCCCAUAAAAGAACAUAUUCAAAAUGUAUCAUUUUCUUUAUGUCACAGAUAAAAGAUCAUUAAUUGUAUAUAAAAUUUCCAUAUAAUUUUUAAAAUUUUUAUUUUGCAAUAAUUUAUUUUAGAUUUACAUUAAAGUUGCAAGGAAGGUACAAA